rnacentral:rRNA from 1 species
GUCGGGAGUUAGGAAAUGCAGGUUGGUUAAUACCCAACCUGUUUGACAAAGGCCCCAAAGGAAGCCACGGCUAACUCUGUGCCAGCAGCCGCGGUAAUACAGAGGUGGCAAGCGUUGUUCGGUAUUAUUGGGCGUAAAGAGCACGUAGGUGGUUUUGUAAGUCAGAUGUGAAAACCUUCUGUUCCAAGGAAGAACGGCAUCUGAAACUGCAGAUCUUGAGUGUAGGAGGGGAGAGUGGAACUUCUGGU